GAUAAACGCUGGCGGCGUGCAUGAGACAUGCAAGUCGAACGAAGGAUCGGGCUUGCUCGAUCCUUAGUGGCGGACGGCUGAGUAACGCGUAGGUGACCUACCCCGAAGUGGGGAAUAACUGCCCGAAAGGGUGGCUAAUACCGCAUGUGGUCGCACGUUCAUUCGUGCGAGUAAAGCCGCAAGGCGCUUCGGGAGGGGCCUGCGUCCGAUUAGCUCGUUGGUGGGGUAAUGGCUUACCAAGGCGACGAUCGGUAGGUGGUCUGAGAGGACGAUCACCCAGACUGGGACUGAGACACGGCCCAGACUACUACGGGAGGCAGCAGUCGGGAAUUUUGCUCAAUGGGGGAAACCCUGAAGCAGCAACGCCGCGUGAGGGAUGAAGGCCUUCGGGUUGUAAACCUCUUUUGUCAGGGACGAUGAUGACGGUACCUGGCGAAUAAGCCACGGCUAACUACGUG
rnacentral:rRNA from 1 species